GUCAGAGAUGUGUUGUGCGUGUGUGUGGCGUGAUCGCUCACCAAGUAUUUAGCGGGAUUCUACCCUGUUCGUUCCGCCCGCGCGUGAUCGCGAUUGUGUCGAACCGUAACCCACUAUAGACGCUCCAGGACAUUUU
rnacentral:sRNA from 19 species